GAUGAACGCUGGCGGCGUGCCUAAUACAUGCAAGUCGAGCGAACAGACGAGGAGCUUGCUCCUCUGACGUUAGCGGCUGACGGGUGAGUAACACGUGGAUAACCUACCUAUAAGACUGGGAUAACUUCGGGAAACCGGAGCUAAUACCGGAUAAUAUAUUGAACCGCAUGGUUCAAUAGUGAAAGACGGUUUUGCUGUCACUUAUAGAUGGAUCCGCGCCGCAUUAGCUAGUUGGUAAGGUAACGGCUUACCAAGGCAACGAUGCGUAGCCGACCUGAGAGGGUGAUCGGCCACACUGGAACUGAGACACGGUCCAGACUCCUACGGGAAGCAGCAGUAGGGAAUCUUCCGCAAUGGGCGAAAGCCUGACGGAGCAACGCCGCGUGAGUGAUGAAGGUCUUCGGAUCGUAAAACUCUGUUAUUAGGGAAGAACAAAUGUGUAAGUAACUAUGCACGUCUUGACGGUACCUAAUCAGAAAGCCACGGCUAACUACGUG
rnacentral:rRNA from 1 species